rnacentral:rRNA from 1 species
AGCGUACACGGUGGAUGCCCUGGCAGUCAGAGGCGAUGAAGGACGUGCUAAUCUGCGAAAAGCGUCGGUAAGGUGAUAUGAACCGUUAUAACCGGCGAUGUCCGAAUGGGGAAACCCAGUGCAAUUCGUUGCACUAUCGUUAACUGAAUACAUAGGUUAACGAGGCGAACCGGGGGAACUGAAACAUCUAAGUACCCCGAGGAAAAGAAAUCAACCGAGAUUCCCCCAGUAGCGGCGAGCGAACGGGGAGCAGCCCAGAGUCUGAAUCAGCUUGUGUGUUAGUGGAACGGUCUGGAAAGUCCGACGGUACAGGGUGAUAGUCCCGUACACCAAAAUGCACAGGUUGUGAACUCGAAGAGUAGGGCGGGACACGUGGUAUCCUGUCUGAAUAUGGGGGGACCAUCCUCCAAGGCUAAAUACUCCUGACUGACCGAUAGUGAACCAGUACCGUGAGGGAAAGGCGAAAAGAACCCCGGCGAGGGGAGUGAAAAAGAACCUGAAACCGUGUACGUACAAGCAGUGGGAGCACCUUCGGGUGUGACUGCGUACCUUUUGUAUAAUGGGUCAGCGACUUAUAUUCUGUAGCAAGGUUAACCGUAUAGGGGAGCCGCAGGGAAACCGAGUCUUAACUGGGCGUUAAGUUGCAGGGUAUAGACCCGAAACCCGGUGAUCUAGCCAUGGGCAGGUUGAAGGUUGGGUAACACUAACUGGAGGACCGAACCGACUAAUGUUGAAAAAUUAGCGGAUGACUUGUGGCUGGGGGUGAAAGGCCAAUCAAACCGGGAGAUAGCUGGUUCUCCCCGAAAGCUAUUUAGGUAGCGCCUCGUGAACUCAUCUUCGGGGGUAGAGCACUGUUUCGGCUAGGGGGUCAUCCCGACUUACCAACCCGAUGCAAACUACGAAUACCGAAGAAUGUUAUCACGGGAGACACACGGCGGGUGCUAACGUCCGUCGUGAAGAGGGAAACAACCCAGACCGCCAGCUAAGGUCCCAAAGUCAUGGUUAAGUGGGAAACGAUGUGGGAAGGCACAGACAGCCAGGAUGUUGGCUUAGAAGCAGCCAUCAUUUAAAGAAAGCGUAAUAGCUCACUGGUCGAGUCGGCCUGCGCGGAAGAUGUAACGGGGCUAAACCAUGCACCGAAGCUGCGGCAGCGACACUAUGUGUUGUUGGGUAGGGGAGCGUUCUGUAAGCCUGCGAAGGUGACCUGUGAGGGUUGCUGGAGGUAUCAGAAGUGCGAAUGCUGACAUAAGUAACGAUAAAGCGGGUGAAAAGCCCGCUCGCCGGAAGACCAAGGGUUCCUGUCCAACGUUAAUCGGGGCAGGGUGAGUCGACCCCUAAGGCGAGGCCGAAAGGCGUAGUCGAUGGGAAACAGGUUAAUAUUCCUGUACUUGGUGUUACUGCGAAGGGGGGACGGAGAAGGCUAUGUUAGCCGGGCGACGGUUGUCCCGGUUUAAGCAUGUAGGCUGGUUAUCCAGGCAAAUCCGGAUAAUCAAGGCUGAGGUGUGAUGACGAGGCACUACGGUGCUGAAGUAACAAAUGCCCUGCUUCCAGGAAAAGCCUCUAAGCAUCAGGUAACAUCAAAUCGUACCCCAAACCGACACAGGUGGUCAGGUAGAGAAUACCAAGGCGCUUGAGAGAACUCGGGUGAAGGAACUAGGCAAAAUGGUGCCGUAACUUCGGGAGAAGGCACGCUGGUGUGUAGGUGAAGUCCCUGCGGAUGGAGCUGAGACCAGUCGAAGAUACCAGCUGGCUGCAACUGUUUAUUAAAAACACAGCACUGUGCAAACACGAAAGUGGACGUAUACGGUGUGACGCCUGCCCGGUGCCGGAAGGUUAAUUGAUGGGGUUAUCCGUAAGGAGAAGCUCUUGAUCGAAGCCCCGGUAAACGGCGGCCGUAACUAUAACGGUCCUAAGGUAGCGAAAUUCCUUGUCGGGUAAGUUCCGACCUGCACGAAUGGCGUAAUGAUGGCCAGGCUGUCUCCACCCGAGACUCAGUGAAAUUGAACUCGCUGUGAAGAUGCAGUGUACCCGCGGCAAGACGGAAAGACCCCGUGAACCUUUACUAUAGCUUGACACUGAACAUUGAGCCUUGAUGUGUAGGAUAGGUGGGAGGCUUUGAAGCGUGGACGCCAGUCUGCGUGGAGCCAACCUUGAAAUACCACCCUUUAAUGUUUGAUGUUCUAACGUUGGCCCCUGACCGGGGUUGCGGACAGUGUCUGGUGGGUAGUUUGACUGGGGCGGUCUCCUCCCAAAGCGUAACGGAGGAGCACGAAGGUUAGCUAAUCCUGGUCGGACAUCAGGAGGUUAGUGCAAUGGCAUAAGCUAGCUUGACUGCGAGCGUGACGGCGCGAGCAGGUGCGAAAGCAGGUCAUAGUGAUCCGGUGGUUCUGAAUGGAAGGGCCAUCGCUCAACGGAUAAAAGGUACUCCGGGGAUAACAGGCUGAUACCGCCCAAGAGUUCAUAUCGACGGCGGUGUUUGGCACCUCGAUGUCGGCUCAUCACAUCCUGGGGCUGAAGUAGGUCCCAAGGGUAUGGCUGUUCGCCAUUUAAAGUGGUACGCGAGCUGGGUUUAGAACGUCGUGAGACAGUUCGGUCCCUAUCUGCCGUGGGCGCUGGAGAAUUGAGGGGGGCUGCUCCUAGUACGAGAGGACCGGAGUGGACGCAUCACUGGUGUUCGGGUUGUCAUGCCAAUGGCACUGCCCGGUAGCUAAAUGCGGAAGAGAUAAGUGCUGAAAGCAUCUAAGCACGAAACUUGCCCCGAGAUGAGUUCU